rnacentral:tRNA from 1 species
AAUCUAGUAGUCUAAAAGGAUUUUAAAUUGCAAAUUUAAAGGUAACAUAAGUUCUAGGUUU